GGCGUCGAGCGGCGGACGGGUGAGUAAUGCCUGGGAAAUUGCCCUGAUGUGGGGGAUAACCAUUGGAAACGAUGGCUAAUACCGCAUAAUAGCUUCGGCUCAAAGAGGGGGACCUUCGGGCCUCUCGCGUCAGGAUAUGCCCAGGUGGGAUUAGCUAGUUGGUGAGGUAAUGGCUCACCAAGGCGACGAUCCCUAGCUGGUCUGAGAGGAUGAUCAGCCACACUGGAACUGAGACACGGUCCAGACUCCUACGGGAGGCAGCAGUGGGGAAUAUUGCACAAUGGGCGCAAGCCUGAUGCAGCCAUGCCGCGUGUAUGAAGAAGGCCUUCGGGUUGUAAAGUACUUUCAGCAGUGAGGAAGGUGGUAGUGUUAAUAGCACUUUCAUUUGACGUUAGCUGCAGAAGAAGCACCGGCUAACUCCGUGCCAGCAGCCGCGGUAAUACGGAGGGUGCGAGCGUUAAUCGGAAUUACUGGGCGUAAAGCGCAUGCAGGUGGUUUGUUAAGUCAGAUGUGAAAGCCCGGGGCUCAACCUCGGAAUAGCAUUUGAAACUGGCAGACUAGAGUACUGUAGAGGGGGGUAGAAUUUCAGGUGUAGCGGUGAAAUGCGUAGAGAUCUGAAGGAAUACCGGUGGCGAAGGCGGCCCCCUGGACAGAUACUGACACUCAGAUGCGAAAGCGUGGGGAGCAAACAGGAUUAGAUACCCUGGUAGUCCACGCCGUAAACGAUGUCUACUUGGAGGUUGUGGCCUUGAGCCGUGGCUUUCGGAGCUAACGCGUUAAGUAGACCGCCUGGGGAGUACGGUCGCAAGAUUAAAACUCAAAUGAAUUGACGGGGGCCCGCACAAGCGGUGGAGCAUGUGGUUUAAUUCGAUGCAACGCGAAGAACCUUACCUACUCUUGACAUCCAGAGAACUUUUCAGAGAUGAAUUGGUGCCUUCGGGAACUCUGAGACAGGUGCUGCAUGGCUGUCGUCAGCUCGUGUUGUGAAAUGUUGGGUUAAGUCCCGCAACGAGCGCAACCCUUAUCCUUGUUUGCCAGCGAGUAAUGUCGGGAACUCCAGGGAGACUGCCGGUGAUAAACCGGAGGAAGGUGGGGACGACGUCAAGUCAUCAUGGCCCUUACGAGUAGGGCUACACACGUGCUACAAUGGCGCAUACAGAGGGCGGCCAACUUGCGAAAGUGAGCGAAUCCCAAAAAGUGCGUCGUAGUCCGGAUUGGAGUCUGCAACUCGACUCCAUGAAGUCGGAAUCGCUAGUAAUCGUAGAUCAGAAUGCUACGGUGAAUACGUUCCCGGGCCUUGUACACACCGCCCGUCACACCAUGGGAGUGGGCUGCAAAAGAAGUGGGUAGUU
rnacentral:rRNA from 1 species